GUAGGUGAACCUGCGGAAGGAUCAUUAUUGAAAUAAACCUGAUGGGUUGUUGCUGGUUCUCUAGGGAGCAUGUGCACACCUUGUCAUCUUUAUAUCUCCACCUGUGCACUUUUUGUAGACCUUUCAGGUCUAUGUUGCUUCAUUUACCCCAAUGUAUGUUAAUAGAAUGUUGUGCCUAUAUAAUAUAUACAACUUUCAGCAACGGAUCUCUUGGCUCUC
rnacentral:misc_RNA from 1 species